AUCUUUUUAAUAUAAUUUAAGUAUAUUUGACUUCCAAUCAAAAAGUCUAGUCUUCUAGAAAAGUUA
rnacentral:tRNA from 1 species